rnacentral:rRNA from 1 species
CCCAGACUCCUACGGGAGGCAGCAGUGGGGGAUAUUGCACAAUGGGGGAAACCCUGAUGCAGCAACGCCGCGUGAGUGAAGAAGUAUUUCGGUAUGUAAAGCUCUAUCAGCAGGGAAGAGAAUGACGGUACCUGACUAAGAAGCCCCGGCUAACUACGUGCCAGCAGCCGCGGUAAUACGUAGGGGGCGAGCGUUAUCCGGAUUUACUGGGUGUAAAGGGAGCGUAGACGGCUGGUCAAGUCUGAAGUGAAAGCCCGGGGCUUAACCCCGGAACGGCUUUGGAAACUGAGCAGCUAGAGUGCUGGAGAGGUAAGCGGAAUUCCUAGUGUAGCGGUGAAAUGCGUAGAUAUUAGGAGGAACACCAGUGGCGAAGGCGGCUUACUGGACAGUAACUGACGUUGAGGCUCGAAAGCGUGGGGAGCAAACAGGAUUAGAUACCCCCGUA